AUGAUGUACAGUGUUUGUUUUUAUAAAUAACUGUGAGGGACGUGUUUCUUGUGCUGAACGCUAAACGCCGGCAAAAAAGCAACUGGGUGAGGCCAGAAGUUCCCGUGCCUCAAGUUAGGGGGCGCCGAUGAGCCCUGAGAUUAUGACGCUAAAAAUAAUAGAAGAAGUGAUAGCAAGCGGCAAGUCAUUUUCUUCAGAAGGAGCGGCAUAUGGGCUUUAUUUACAAGUAAAGGUGGACGCCGCUCUGAAAAAAGGUUCUGGAUGGUCCGGUUUCAGCGCCGCAGCUGCCGCAGGAGGACAGAAGGUCGACCAAACGGAGCACGCUCUCCUCCAGCAACUCCGAAAUGAUCACGCAGAAAGGUCUGGUCGUCAUCUCACUGCAAGGCCUGCUUUCACAGAACUUCCUGUUUUUCUGGUUUCCAUUACAAGCAUAACGUUCAUUUAUAGGAUGAGCCGAGGAUGAAGAACCCCUCAACCUGAGCUAAGAUGCUGCCCCCUUUCACUAAAAAACACAUCACUAUAGCAACGGAAAGAAAGGAAUAAACUUUGUCUAAAUCAAGAGAGAUGCUCCCUAGAGAGUAACCAGCAAAAGCUGGACUAAAAUGAGUAAAAGGGGCAAGAAAAACAAUCCUUCUGCACAAUCCUGCAAAAGUUUUUUUAAUGCACGCAAAUAAGAUUUGAUUGUUUCACUCCGUUGGUUUUAAACAAAUGCUCACAAAAAGGAAAGCUCUGCUGUAAAUGUAUAAAUUAAGUUUAGUUUAUUGGGUACAGCUUUGGUUCAGAU